UCUUCUCUUCCCUUCUUCUUCUUCUUCUUCUUCCGUGUUCUCGUCCUGUGAGUGAUUUGAGAGGUAAAAAGGGUUUUUUGGGAUCAAGGAGAGCAGUGAAAAGAUCGAGGGUUAUUUGAUGGUGGUAGUAUAGGUUGAUCCGGUGAAACCAAAAACCAGCAGAAAAGUUAGUCUAUAUUAACAACGAUCGAUCCAAAGGAUGAACGAGUGGAUUGAGGAUCUCGAGGUAGGCGAGGCUUGUAAUCAAAUCAGUAAUUAGAAGAAAUGGAGCUCGGGAAGAUAUCCAUUUUCGUAACUUAGUGCUCUACCGAAUCUAGUGUUGUUAUGUGUUUUUUAUUAUAUGUAUUCUUCCUUUAUUCUGUAAAACAACACAUUUAUAUACUUAUAUAACAUGAGAGACUUUCAAACA